GGCUGAGGCAGGAGGAUUGCUUGAACCUGGGAAGUGGAGGUUUUGCAGUGAGCCGAGAUCACACCACUGCACUCCAGCCUGGCGACAGAGCGAGACUCCGUCCAAAAAAAAAAAAAAAGAAAGAAAGAAAGAAAAAAAAAAAAAGGCUAGCUGGAAAAAUGGGAAUCAACUAAAUGUCCACCAAGAGGUGAAUUGUUAAAUUUAAAUAAACUAUAGCCGGCUGGGUGCCACAGUGCAUGCCUGUCAUCCCAGUGCUUUGGGAGCUGAGGUGGGCUAAUCACUUUAGGCCAGGAGUUCGAGACCAGCCUGGCCAACGUGGCAAAAUCCCAUCUCUACCAAAAAUAAAAAAAAAAUUAGUCGGGUGUGAUAGUGCAUGCCUGUGGUCCCAGCUACUUGGGAGGUUAAGGUGGGAGAAUCGCUUGAGCCCAGGAGGCAGAGGUUGCAGUGAGCCUAGAUCACGCCACUGCCCUCCAGCCUGGGUGAGAAUGAAACCCUGUCUCAAAAAUAAAUAAAUAAACAAACCAUGGCACAUCCUAUCCACACAAUGGAAUAAAAAGGCAACCCUGGCCAGGCGUGGUGGCUCAUGCCUGUAAUCCUAGCACUUUGAGAGGCUGAGGCAGGUGGAUUGCCUGAGCUCAGGAGUUCGAGACCAGCCUGGGCAAUACGGUGAAACACCGUCUCUACUAAAAUACAAAAAAUUAGCCAGGCGUGGUGGCGUGUGCCUGUAGUCCCAGCUACUCAGGAGGCUGAGGCAGAAGAAUUACUUAAACCUGGGAGGCGGAGGUUGCACACUGAGCUGAGAUCACACCACUUCAUUCCAGGCUGGGCGACACAGCGAGACUCCGUUUCAAAAAAAAAAAUUAUCAUAAUGCAACCCUAAAUACAAGUGAGUCAGCUAGCUGCUAGCUGUGUCCAGUUAUCUCUAAGAUAACCUGAUAAACUUAGCCAAAUGGUAAGUGAUCCGCCCGUCUCAACCUCCCAAAGUGCGAGAUUGCAGGUGUGAGCCACUGCGCCAAACGGUAUAGUGUGCUACCAUUUGUCAAGGGCAGGAGGUAGGGCAGAGUAAACAUGAUCUUAUUUGUUUCUUUUGGCACAGAGAAACCUCAGAAAGUUACAUAAAAAAACUAAUAAAAGUAGUGGCUGGGCGUGGUGGGUCAUCCCUGUAAUCCCAGCACUUUGGGAUGCUGAGGAGGGUGGAUCGCCUGGGGUUAGGAGUUCCAGACCAGCCUGGCCAACAUAGUGAAACCCCGUCUCUACCAAAAAUACAAAAAAUUAGCUGGGUGUGGUGACGGGCGCCUGUAAUCCCAGCUACUGGGGAGGCUGAGGCAGGAGAAUCUCUUGAACCCAGGAGGGUAAGGUUGCAGUGAGCCGGGAUCACACCACUGCACUCUAGCCUGGGUGAGAGUGAGACUCCAUCUCAAAAAAAAAAAAAAAAAAAAGAAAGAAAGAAAAAAAAAAAAAAAGGCCGAGCACGGUGGCUCACGCCUGUAAUCCCAGCACUUUGGAAGGCUGAGGCAGGCAGAUCACCUGAGGUGAGGUCAGGAGUUUGAGACCAGCCUGACCAACAUGGAGAAACCCCGUCUCUACUAAAAAUACAAAAUUAGCUGGGUGUGAUGGUGGGUGCCUGUAAUCCCAGCUACUUGAGAGGCUGAGGUGGGAGACUAGCUUGAACCCAGGAGGCAGAGGUUGCGGUGAGCUGAGAUCGCACCAUUGCACUCUAGCCUGGGCAACAAGAGGAAACUCUGUCUCAAAAAAAAAGAAAAAAGAAAAGAAAAGGCUUGGCAUAUACGGGGAGAGCUUCUGAGUCAGCUUCUUUAUCUGCAGCAUGAGAGCAAUAACACUGUCCCCUCUUGGGCUUGUUCAUAGGGGUGGGAGGAGGAGUCUUUAGAAGGUCUAGGUUCAGCAGUGAGCAGUCCCACCAAACCUGCCAGUUUCAUCUCAUCAGCCUGGCAGCUUUUGACGCUGAGCUCCCUGAGGCAGGGGCAGGGCCUCAUCCUCUGUCCAGCUCAGCACUCUGUACUGUUGAUACUCAGCCUCCACUCCGUCAUCUAAUAACCACACCUCACACCUGUCCCCCAGGAACAGAAGCAGCCAAAUAACAGGCUCCCCUCAAAACAGACAAAAGUCCAAUCCUAUCAUUACAUUUCUGCUCAGCGAUUACUCAGUAACCUCCUGAGAGCCAACUUUCCUGGGCAGUUCUGGAAUGCAGGGUGGGAUUGGGGGCCCACAGCUGCAGUCUCCCCAGAGACCCAAUCAGGUCUUUGUCAAGUCUGUUGUCUUUUCUUUUUUUUUGAGACAGAGUUUCGCUCUUGUUGCCCAGGCUGGAGUGCAAUGGCGCGAUCUCGGCUCACCACAACUUCUGCCUCCUGGGUGCAAGUGAUCCUCCUGCCCCAGCCUCCCUAGUAGCUAGGAUUACAGGCAUGUGCCACCAUGCCCAGCUAAUUUUGUAUUUUUAGUAGAGAUGGGGUUUCUCCAUUUUGGUCAGGCUGGUCUCAAACUCCCAACCUCAGGUGAUCUGCCCGCCUUGGCCUCCCAAAGUGUUGGGUUUACAGAUAUGAGCCACCCUACCUGGCCAAGUCUGUGGCCUUUCCUCCCACACCACCAAGGGGUCCAGGCUGGGGGAGUGUACUCUUGAGUAAGGGAAGGACAGGCCAAAACGUCCAGAGAGUCAACCUAGUCCCCACCCUGGGUCUCUGCAGCUAGCUCUUCAGAAACUCAAUCAGAAUUCUCAAAUCCCAGAUAAUGAGGGGAUGCAGAUCAUCCUGCCGGGCCUUUUGUUUCCGGGCAGAAGACAUCUUAUCGCAGAUCAGCUCCUGAGGCUGUUUCUUUAGGCCUUCACAGUAGGGUGGGCUUCAAUCCCGGCUACCUCUGUUUUCCUCUGGGCUGGCUGCAUUCAAGGAGAGGGGCUCAGGCUGAGGGGCUCUGGACGGCUAGACUCCUACACAUCCCGAGAUGGGGCUUGGAGAUUCUCGCGUAGCUGGCGCCUGAGGUGUAGGGAUCUGAGGUCUGCCCUGUUUGUUCGGGGAGUGCUGGGAAGGCACUCAUUUUCCUUUUCAUCCAUGGGCUGUUUGGUGGGAUUAUGAUACUGUGGGGAAGAUCCUUGACUGCAGACUAGGUCUGAAUCCUGGCUCUGCUACUUCUCAAGGGAGUGAACUUGCAGAGUUACCACCUCUCUUGAGUCUCAGUUGGUUCAUCUGUAAAAGACAUGGUUGUUAUGAGAUUCAAUGAAAGAGUGGGUUAAGGUGCUCAGCAGAGGGUCCAGCUCAUGGUAGAUACUCAGUACCUGUGUGCUCUGUCCCCCUACCUUGUAGGUAGCCAAAGCUCCCUACCCUGCUUUGGGCAUGGAGAUGCUAAACAGAGAACAGCAAAAACACAACAGAGACCAUGAGAGGCUGCAGAAGAGCCAUGUCAAUUCAACAAAGAAACUCAAGAAGGAAAAUUCCACUGAGAUCCGGGAGACAGGGUGGGGCAGGUGUCUACAAGGUCACCUUGCAGGCCAGGUAAAAACAUCCCGUGGUAAAACACAUCCCACAAUCUGAAACAAUGUGUGUGUGCACAAGGGCAUGUGUCUACAUUUUAAAAAAUGGAUUGGCCGGGUGCAGUGGCUCAUGUCUCCCAACACUUUCGGAGGCCGAGGUGGGCGGAUCAUGAGGUCAGGAGAUCGAGACCAUCCUGGCUAACAUGGUGAAACCCUGUCUCUACUGAAAAUACAAAAAAUUAGCCAGGCGUGGUGGCGGGCGCCUGCAGUCCCAGCUACUCGGGAGGCUGAGGCAGGAGAAUGGUGUGAACCCAGGAGGCGGAGCUUGCAGUGAGCCGAGAUUGGGCCACUGCACUCCAGCCUGGUGACACAGCAACACUCUGUCUCAAAAAAUAAAAAAUAAAAAAUAAAAAAUGGAUUAAGUACAAAAAGCAAAAAUAAAAUAAAAUUAAAAUUAUUUGUAGAUUAUAACCAUAAAUAUAUAUUUGUGAAUGGCCAGGGAUUGGAAGGGAACAAAACUGUGAAGAUGGUCCAGCUAGAAUGUCAGGAUUACAUAUGGAUUUUUGGGUUUUUUUCGUUUAUUUGUUUUUUUGAGACAGAAUCUCGCUCUGUCGCCCGUGCUGGAGUGCAGUGAUGCAAUCUCGGCUCACUGCAACCUCCGCCUCUUGUGUUCAAGCAAUUCCCUUGCCUCAGUCUCCCAAGUAGCUGGGACUCCAGGUGCGUGCCACCACACCUAGCUAAUUUUUGUAUUUUUUAGCAGAGAUGAGGUUUCGCCAUGUUACCCAGGCUGGUCUUGAACUGGCCUCAAGUGAUCCUCCCACCUCAGCCUCCCAAAAUGCUGGGAUUACAGGCUUGAUCCACUGUGCCCGGCCACAUAUGAGUUUUUAAAAGCUUUUUAGUGAUGUGCCCUGUUGCUCUAUCAUUUGUUUUAAGUUAAAAACUCA
rnacentral:lncRNA from 10 species